GGUUAACGCUGGCGGGGCGCAUAACACAUGCAAGUCGAGCGAGGGCUUAUCUCCCGCAAGGGAGGUGAGUUCCUAGCGGCGAACGGGUGAGUAACACGUGGGCAACCUUUCCUAUCGCGGGGGAUAACACCGGGAAACCGAUGCUAAUACCGCAUGUCGUCACCGGUCGCAUGGCCGGUGAAGAAAGCAGCAAUGCACGAUGGGGUGGGCCCGCGGCCUAUCAACUAGUCGGUGGGGUAACGGCCUACCGAGGCGAUGACGGGUAGCUGGUCUGAGAGGACGACCAGCCACACGGGGACUGAGACACGGCCCCGACUCCUACGGGAGGCAGCGGUGAGGAAUCUUCCGCAAUGGGCGAAAGCCUGACGGAGCGACGCCGCGUGUGGGAUGAAGUCUUUCGGGAUGUAAACCACUGUCGGAGGGGAAGACAUCGACGGUACCCUCCAAGAAAGCCCCGGCUAACUACGUGC
rnacentral:rRNA from 1 species